rnacentral:rRNA from 1 species
AGCGAAUGCUGGCGGCAGGCUUAACACAUGCAAGUCGAGCGCCCCGCAAGGGGAGCGGCAGACGGGUGAGUAACGCGUGGGAACGUACCCUUUGCUACGGAAUAGCUCCGGGAAACUGGAAUUAAUACCGUAUGUGCCCUACGGGGGAAAGAUUUAUCGGCAAAGGAUCGGCCCGCGUUGGAUUAGCUAGUUGGUGGGGUAAUGGCCUACCAAGGCGACGAUCCAUAGCUGGUCUGAGAGGAUGAUCAGCCACAUUGGGACUGAGACACGGCCCAAACUCCUACGGGAGGCAGCAGUGGGGAAUAUUGGACAAUGGGCGCAAGCCUGAUCCAGCCAUGCCGCGUGAGUGAUGAAGGCCUUAGGGUUGUAAAGCUCUUUUACCCGGGACGAUAAUGACUGUACCGGGAGAAUAAGCCCCGGCUAACUUCGUGCCAGCCGCCGCCGUAAUAC